rnacentral:rRNA from 1 species
GAUGAACGCUGGCGGCGUGCCUAAUACAUGCAAGUCGAGCGAACAGACGAGGAGCUUGCUCCUCUGACGUUAGCGGCGGACGGGUGAGUAACACGUGGAUAACCUACCUAUAAGACUGGGAUAACUUCGGGAAACCGGAGCUAAUACCGGAUAAUAUAUUGAACCGCAUGGUUCAAUAGUGAAAGACGGUUUUGCUGUCACUUAUAGAUGGAUCCGCGCCGCAUUAGCUAGUUGGUAAGGUAACGGCUUACCAAGGCAACGAUGCGUAGCCGACCUGAGAGGGUGGUCGGCCACACUGGAACUGAGACACGGUCCAGACUCCUAAGGGAGGCAGCAGUAGGGAAUCUUCCGCAAUGGGCGGAAGCCUGACGGAGCAACGCCGCGUGAGUGAUGAAGGGCUUCGGAUCGUAAAACUCUGUUAUUAGGGAAGAACAAAUGUGUAAGUAACUAUGCACGUCUUGACGGUACCUAAUCAGAAAGCCACGGCUAACUACGUG